rnacentral:rRNA from 1 species
GCUGGCGGCGUGCUUAACACAUGCAAGUCGAACGCGAAAGUGUAGCAAUACAUGAGUAGAGUGGCGAACGGGUGAGUAAAGUGUGGGUAAUUUGCCUUCCAGAGGGGGAUAACCCGGCGAAAGCUGGGCUAAAACCGCGUAACAUUUGUUUGAUUACGGUCAGAUGAAUCAAAACAUGGGGAUUCGUAAGGACCUAUGGCUGGGAGAUGAGCCCACAUCCUAUCACGCUUGUUGGUGGGGUAAAGGCCUACCAAGGCGACGACGGGUAGCCGGCCUGAGAGGGUGUCCGGCCACACUGGAACUGAGACACGGUCCAGACUCCUACGGGAGGCAGCAGUGGGGAAUUUUUCGCAAUGGGCGCAAGCCUGACGAAGCAACGCCGCGUGGAGGAUGAAGGCCCUCGUGGUCGUAAACUCCUGUCUAGCGGGACGAAGGUAUAUCACAAUAAUACGGUGAGAUAUUGACUGUACCGCUGGAGGAAGCUCCGGCCAACUCCGUGCCAGCAGCCGC